AAACAGACCCAUUUAAGCGCAGAACGCUCGAUUGGCAAAAGCGGUUCAAUAUCAUUAUUGGAAUCUGUCGCGGCCUUCUUUAUCUUCAUGAGGAUUCGCAGCUUCGAAUAAUUCACAGAGAAGUCAAAGCAGGCAACAUUUUGCUUGAUGAGAAUCCCAAUCCUAAGAUAGCUGACUUUGGCUUAGCCAGACUUUUCUCCGACAAUGAAACCGAAAUCCAAUCGAGAGUUGCAGGAACCUAUGGCUAAAUGGCUCCAGAAUAUGCAAUGGGAGGGCAGCUGUCUGUAAAAGCCGACGUUUAUAGUUUUGGAGUUUUACUGCUAGAGAUUGUAAGUGGAAGAAAAAAUACAGAGAUAGAUAUUUCAAAAGAAAAUCAGAGCCUGGGACUAUUAGAAUGGGCAUGGAGAUUAUUCAAAGGAGGCCAUACUCUCAAAAUUGUGGAUAUUAUUGCUGGGUAUAUGAAGCUCAGUGGUCACAUGACUGUUUGUCUUCCCCAUACUCUUCAUUUCAUAUCUGAUAUGUUUAUAUAAAUUGCUGUGUGCAGCCCAUACAUGAUGUACUAUAGAAUCAAUAAUGGUUAAUAAGAAUUCUCCCUGCUUUAGCCACUUAGUGGUGAACCACGUUAAACUUCAUGUUAUGCGUUGUUAUGUUUUCGUUUCUGUUUUGUUUUCUCUAUUUUAUUGUUGAUUGUCAUGUUUUUCUGCUCGGUUUAAAACUAACAAUUGGUAUCAGAGCCACAAUUGGCUUGAGCAGAGAUGGAAUCCGAUUGGAUAGUUGAUCUUGGAUAU